CAUGCAGUCGACGCUUUGUGGUUCAACUGAUUUGAAGAGCUUGCUCAGAUAUGACGAUGGACAUUGCAAAGAGUGGCGAACGGGUGAGUAACACGUGGGAAACCUACCUCUUAGCAGGGGAUAACAUUUGGAAACAGAUGCUAAUACCGUAUAACAAUGACAACCGCAUGGUUGUUAUUUAAAAGAUGGUUCUGCUAUCACUAAGAGAUGGUCCCGCGGUGCAUUAGCUAGUUGGUAAGGUAAUGGCUUACCAAGGCGAUGAUGCAUAGCCGAGUUGAGAGACUGAUCGGCCACAAUGGGACUGAGACACGGCCCAUACUCCUACGGGAGGCAGCAGUAGGGAAUCUUCCACAAUGGGCGAAAGCCUGAUGGAGCAACGCCGCGUGUGUGAUGAAGGGUUUCGGCUCGUAAAACACUGUUGUAAGAGAAGAAUGACAUUGAGAGUAACUGUUCAAUGUGUGACGGUAUCUUACCAGAAAGGAACGGCUAAAUACGUGCCAGCAGCCGCGGUAAUACGUAUGUUCCAAGCGUUAUCCGGAUUUAUUGGGCGUAAAGCGAGCGCAGACGGUUAUUUAAGUCUGAAGUGAAAGCCCUCAGCUCAACUGAGGAAUUGCUUUGGAAACUGGAUGACUUGAGUGCAGUAGAGGAAAGUGGAACUCCAUGUGUAGCGGUGAAAUGCGUAGAUAUAUGGAAAAACCACCAGUGGCGAAGGCGGCUUUCUGGACUGUAACUGACGUUGAGGCUCGAAGUGUGGGUACCAACAAGAUUACAUACCCUGGUAGUCCCACCCGUAACGAAGA
rnacentral:rRNA from 1 species